GAAGGUGGGGAUGACGUCAAAUCAUCAUGCCCCUUAUGAUUUGGGCUACACACGUGCUACAAUGGACAAUACAAAGGGCAGCGAAACCGCGAGGUCAAGCAAAUCCCAUAAAGUUGUUCUCAGUUCGGAUUGUAGUCUGCAACUCGACUACAUGAAGCUGGAAUCGCUAGUAAUCGUAGAUCAGCAUGCUACGGUGAAUACGUUCCCGGGUCUUGUACACACCGCCCGUCACACCACGAGAGUUUGUAACACCCGAAGCCGGUGGAGUAACCAUUUUGGAGCUAGCCGUCGAAGGUGGGACAAAUGAUUGGGGUGAAGUCGUAACAAGGUAGCCGUAUCGGAAGGUGCGGCUGGAUCACCUCCUUUCUAA
rnacentral:rRNA from 1 species